UACGAAGGGGACUAGCGUUGUUCGGAUUUACUGGGCGUAAAGCGCGCGUAGGCGGAUCGCUAAGUCAGGGGUGAAAUCCCGGGGCUCAACCCCGGAACUGCCUUUGAUACUGGUAGUCUCGAGUCCGGAAGAGGUGAGUGGAAUUCCGAGUGUAGAGGUGAAAUUCGUAGAUAUUCGGAGGAACACCAGUGGCGAAGGCGGCUCACUGGUCCGGUACUGACGCUGAGGUGCGAAAGCGUGGGGAGCAAACAGG
rnacentral:rRNA from 1 species